UACGUAGGGUGCAAGCGUUGUCCGGAAUUAUUGGGCGUAAAGAGCUCGUAGGCGGUUCGUCGCGUCGGCUGUGAAAUCCCGGAGCUCAACUCCGGGUCUGCAGUCGAUACGGGCGGACUCGAGUUCGGCAGGGGAGACUGGAAUUCCUGGUGUAGCGGUGAAAUGCGUUGAGAGUCCGGAGGAACGCCCGCGGCGAAAGCGCGUCCCUGGACCCCGCCUGACGCUGAG
rnacentral:rRNA from 1 species